ensembl:lncRNA novel transcript
AGCUUUCCGGUGGUGGGAAAGUGAACGAAUCCCGAAUCAAAGCGGCGCAUUGAGGCAGGUGGGGUGCCAGUGGAAGAGAGAAAGCAGGCGAGUGUUUACGGCCUGACUUGGGAGGCCGGCGGAUCAGCAAUUGCAGAAGCAGGCAGCGGCAGAGAGGGAAUGGUGCAGGCAGGCGCUGAGAAGGACGCGCAGUCCAUCUCUCUCAGAAAAGAACAAUGGGAAACCAAACAUCAAAGAACAGAAAGGAAGAUCCCUAAAUACGUUCCGCCUCACCUUUCUCCAGAUAAGAAGUGGCUUGGAACUCCCAUUGAGGAGAUGAGAAGAAUGCCUCAGUGUGGGAUCCGGCUGCCUCUCUUGAGACCAUCUGCCAAUCACACAGUAACUGUUUGGAAUGGUGAGCGAACUGCGGGGAGCCGGUGGGAGCUCAUUCAGACUGCACUUCUCAACAAAUUUACACGACCCCAAAACUUGAAGGAUGCUAUUCUGAAAUACACUGUGGCAUAUUCUAAGAAAUGGGACUUUACAGCUUUGAUCGAUUUCUGGGAUAAGCUUUCGAACCUCUGAUUUGGAGUUCAGUGGAAAUUUAACCUUUUUGGACCUCUUCCCUUGGUGACUCACAGUCUCUGGAAUCAUAAGGUACUUGAAGAAACAGAAGCUCAACAUUUAUAUCAGUCCAUCUUGCCUGAUAUGGUGAAAAUUGCACUCUGUCUGCCAAAUAUUUGCACCCAGCCAAUACCACUCCUGAAACAGAAGAUGAAUCAUUCCAUCACAAUGUCGCAGGAACAGAUUGCCAGUCUUUUAGCUAAUGCUUUCUUCUGCACAUUUCCACGAUGAAAUGCUCAGAUGAAAUCGGAGUAUUCUAGUUACCCAGACAUUAACUUCAAUCGAUUGUUUGAGGGACGUUCAUCAAGGAAACCGGAGAAACUUAAAACGCUCUUCUGCUACUUUAGAAGAGUCACAGAGAAAAAACCUACUGGGUUGGUGACAUUUACAAGACAGAGUCUUGAAGAUUUUCCAGAAUGGGAAAGAUGUGAAAAACCCUUGACACGAUUGCAUGUCACUUACGAAGGUACCAUAGAAGAAAAUGGCCGAGGCAUGCUACAGGUGGAUUUUGCAAAUCAUUUUGUUGGAGGUGGUGUAACCAGUGCAGGACUUGUGCAAGAAGAAAUCCGCUUUUUAAUCAAUCCUGAGUUGAUUAUUUCACGGCUCUUCACUGAGGUGCUGGAUCACAAUGAAUGUCUAAUUAUCACAGUGUCAGAGAUGGCUUUGGAUUCCCCAUUCUGUGUGCUGCUGUCUGGCUCCUGAACCCACCUGUAGAGGUGUGUCAAUCCCAGCUGGUGAAGUACUGAGAAGAAGCUACACAAAAGGCAUCAAAGUAUUAGUAAGUGUACCUCUGACAUUUUAACCACCUCUGACUUUUCCAUGGAAUGGACAAGUAGUAGUCUCUGUCAGAGCUACAUUUUAAAGGAGAAAAAGAAACGUGAAGUCAUGAACUGUUUAUUUAUGCUGUUAUUUUUGUGUUUACUCACCUCAUUUAUAUUGACUUGUAAAUUAGUAAUUUCUGAACUAUUACUUAUCAAUUCAUUGCCUACAUGUCAGCAAACAAAUUUUCUUCUUAAUAAAGAAUACAGUUGCUGGGCACAAUGGUUCACACCUGUAAUCUCAGCACGUUUGGAGGGCAAGGCAGGAGGAUUCCUUGGGGCCAGGAGUUCAAGACCAGCCUGGGCAAUAUAGCAAGAUUUCAUCUCUACAAAAAAA